rnacentral:rRNA from 1 species
UACGAAGGGGGCUAGCGUUGCUCGGAAUCACUGGGCGUAAAGCGCACGUAGGCGGCUCUUUAAGUCAGGGGUGAAAUCCUGGAGCUUAACUCCAGAACUGCCUUUGAUACUGGGGAUCUCGAGUCCGGGAGAGGUGAGUGGAACUCCGAGUGUAGAGGUGAAAUUCGUAGAUAUUCGGAAGAACACCAGUGGCGAAGGCGGCUCACUGGCCCGGUACUGACGCUGAGGUGCGAAAGCGUGGGGAGCAAACAGG